rnacentral:rRNA from 1 species
ACGGAAGGUCCAGGCGUUAUCCGGAUUUAUUGGGUUUAAAGGGAGCGCAGGCGGACUCUUAAGUCAGUUGUGAAAUACGGCGGCUCAACCGUCGGACUGCAGUUGAUACUGGGGGUCUUGAGUACACGCAGAGAUACUGGAAUUCAUGGUGUAGCGGUGAAAUGCUCAGAUAUCAUGAGGAACUCCAAUCGCGAAGGCAGGUAUCUGGAGUGUAACUGACGCUGAGGCUCGAAAGUGCGGGUAUCAAACAGGAUUAGAUACCCUGGUAGUCCGCACAGUAAACGAUGAAUACUCGCGGUUGGCGAUAUACAGUCAGCCGCCAAGCGAAAGCGUUAAGUAUUCCACCUGGGGAGUACGCCGGCAACGGUG